AAGGCUUCAAUAGCCUCCCCUUCUUUAGGUAAACUCAUUUCAUGACUUGAAGAAUUAUUCUCCACAUUAAAUGCUUCAGUCGACAGUCCCUGCCCCCCGUUUUCAUUUCCUUCAUUCUCAAGGCAUGGUUCUACUGUAGAGUGGAUACGCCAGGAAGGAUCAAGCUAGGAUUGCACCAGGUAGCAGUGAGUUGCAAUAUUAUGCAUACAAAAGGUAUCAUAGGAGUGUGGCGUAUAGUACACUGCGCCAUGAAGAUUCUAUUUUUAAUAAAGUUUUAUGUUGUAACAUCUUACGUUAUUAAAAAAUUUAUUGUAAAUAUUUAAUAUCCUCUUUAUAUUAAUGAACGGUACAAAAAUGAAUAAGAAGUAUGUUUUAAAA